rnacentral:rRNA from 1 species
UACGAAGGGGGGCUAGCGUUGUUCGGAAUUACUGGGCGUAAAGCGCACGUAGGCGGACUAUUAAGUCAGGGGUGAAAUCCCGGGGCUCAACCCCCGGAACUGCCUUUGAUACUGGUAGUCUCGAGUCCGGAAGAGGUGAGUGGAAUUCCGAGUGUAGAGGUGAAAUUCGUAGAUAUUCGGAGGAACACCAGUGGCGAAGGCGGCUCACUGGUCCGGUACUGACGCUGAGGUGCGAAAGCGUGGGGAGCAAACAGG